UCUUUCUUUGCUGGCGACCGGCGCACGGGUGAGUAACACGUAUCCAACCUGCCCUUUACUCGGGGAUAGCCUUUCGAAAGAAAGAUUAAUACCCGAUAGUAUAAUGAUUCCGCAUGGUUUCAUUAUUAAAGGAUUCCGGUAAGGGAUGGGGAUGCGUUCCAUUAGGUUGUUGGUGAGGUAACGGCUCACCAAGCCUUCGAUGGAUAGGGGUUCUGAGAGGAAGGUCCCCCACAUUGGAACUGAGACACGGUCCAA
rnacentral:rRNA from 1 species